UACGUAGGGUGCGAGCGUUGUCCGGAAUUAUUGGGCGUAAAGGGCUCGUAGGCGGUCUGUUGCGUCGGGAGUGAAAACUCAGGGCUUAACCCUGAGCCUGCUUCCGAUACGGGCAGACUAGAGUGCGGUAGGGGAGAUCGGAAUUCCUGGUGUAGCGGUGAAAUGCGCAGAUAUCAGGAGGAACACCGGUGGCGAAGGCGGAUCUCUGGGCCGUAACUGACGCUGAGGAGCGAAAGCAUGGGGAGCGAACAGG
rnacentral:rRNA from 1 species